rnacentral:rRNA from 1 species
GACGAACGCUGGCGGCGUGCCUAAUACAUGCAAGUCGAGCGGAAUGAUGAAGAAGCUUGCUUCUUCUGAUUUUAGCGGCGGACGGGUGAGUAACACGUGGGCAACCUACCUUGUAGAUUGGGAUAACUCCGGGAAACCGGGGCUAAUACCGAAUAAUCCAUUUUGCUUCAUGGCGAGAUGUUGAAAGACGGUUUCGGCUGUCACUAUAAGAUGGGCCCGCGGCGCAUUAGCUAGUUGGUAGGGUAAUGGCCUACCAAGGCGACGAUGCGUAGCCGACCUGAGAGGGUGAUCGGCCACACUGGGACUGAGACACGGCCCAGACUCCUACGGGAGGCAACAGUAGGGAAUCUUCCACAAUGGACGAAAGUCUGAUGGAGCAACGCCGCGUGAGUGAAGAAGGUUUUCGGAUCGUAAAACUCUGUUGUAAGGGAAGAACACGUACGAGAGUAACUGCUCGUACCUUGACGGUACCUUAUUAGAAAGCCACGGCUAACUACGUG